rnacentral:rRNA from 1 species
CCUACGGGUGGCUGCAGUGGGGAAUAUUGGACAAUGGGGGCAACCCUGAUCCAGCCAUGCCGCGUGUGUGAAGAAGGCCCUCGGGUUGUAAAGCACUUUCAGUGAGGAAGAACGCCUGGUGGUUAAUACCCAUCAGGAAAGACAUCACUCACAGAAGAAGCACCGGCUAACUCCGUGCCAGCAGCCGCGGUAAUACGGAGGGUGCGAGCGUUAAUCGGAAUUACUGGGCGUAAAGCGCGCGUAGGUGGCUUGAUAAGCCGGUUGUGAAAGCCCCGGGCUCAACCUGGGAACGGCAUCCGGAACUGUCAAGCUAGAGUGCAGGAGAGGAAGGUAGAAUUCCCGGUGUAGCGGUGAAAUGCGUAGAGAGCGGGAGGAAUACCAGUGGCGAAGGCGGCCUUCUGGACUGACACUGACACUGAGGUGCGAAAGCGUGGGUAGCAAACAGGAUUAGAUACCCUAGUAGUC